UCCCUGGCAGUCCAGUGGUUAAGACUCUGUGCUUCCAAUGCAGGGGACCCAAGUUUGAUCCCUGGUCAGGGAA
rnacentral:tRNA from 1 species